rnacentral:tRNA from 1 species
GGGAAGUUGGCUCAGUGGUAGAGUACUUGCCUCGCAUGCAUGAAGCCCUAGGUUCGAUUCCUCAGCACCACA